CGAGGAUUCUUUGAUCUGUUGCAAGAAAGGGUGUUCAAGAUGCAUAGAUUCUUGAAAAAUGAAAAGGCACUUACAUUGAAAGAUUCCCCGAUUAUGAUUAAAAAAGAAUCUGGUGAAAGCUUCACAGGGAUCCAUUCUCCAUCUUUGGUUUGUAUCUCUAACCCAUCCACCUCAUUUUGGUACAGUAUGCUUGUUAUGUUCUUGUCUGUAUGAGGCACCCCAAACUACAGAGAAAAAGGGUGCCUCAUAUUUGGCGACCCUGAGAAGAUUGUAUGUUGAGUUUAUAUGCUCAUCCAAGUAUUUCUCAACACCCAAGCUUUCCACAAUCAUCCUCCUUACUAUUUGCCCUAAUUCCAGCACUGGUUCAGAGAAUAAAUGCACAGUUUUGCUGCCAAAAGAAAUGAACGAGUGUAUGGCUUAGUCAACUUAACAUGAACAUGAACAUGAACAUUAUAUUUUGUAAGUAAACCGGCCGGCAGCAAGAAAGAAAGGCACAGAGAAACUCACAAACCUGAUUUUUAUGUUCCCUUCAGGCCACAAGACAUUGGUGAAGUUUUCGACCAUAUCGUAGAUACUAGGUUCAACUAUGCACAGGCCCUCAUAGAUUGAUGACCUUGCUGAAGUUGAUCCAAGAUAACCAUGAUAUGGUUUUUCAGAAACAUUGCGCCGUUUCGUUUCCAAAGGCAAUUGCAACAUCUCUUCCAUUGCUCCAUUCAUUGCGUUUCGAAGGUCUUGAGGAAUUUUGUUGAACAAAGCCUGGAAGCAACCAA
rnacentral:misc_RNA from 1 species